rnacentral:rRNA from 1 species
GACGUAGGGCGCGAGCGUUGUCCGGAUUUAUUGGGCGUAAAGAGCUCGUAGGCGGCUUGUUGCGUCAGCUGUGAAAACCCGCAGCUCAACUGUGGGCUUGCAGCUGAUACGGGCAGGCUUGAGUUCGGUAGGGGAGACUGGAAUUCUCGGUGUAGCGGUGAAAUGCGUAGAUAUCGAGAGGAACACCUGCGGCGAAGGCGGGUUGCUGGGCCGACACUGACGCUGAUGCGCGAAAGCCAGGGGAGCGAACGGG